AGUACCGAUCGCGGAUGCGCCACUUGCAAGCCGGCUAUAUACCUGCAGCUUUUCGCAGCGCCUC
rnacentral:sRNA from 1 species